rnacentral:tRNA from 1 species
AGCCUUGUAUUCAUUUAGUGAUAACAGAAUGCAAUUCUGUAGGGGUAGGUUUAAAGGCUUACCAAGGCCU